AACAUCGCCUCCUGCAAAAAUCAAUGUAUAGGAGGUCCUGCCUGCCCAGUGACAACUAGUUAAACGGCCGCGGUAUUUUGACCGUGCUAAGGUAGCGCAAUCACUUGUCUUUUAAAUGAAGACCUGUAUGAAUGGUGGAACGAGGGCUUAACUGUCUCCCUUCUCCUGUCAAUGAAAUUGAUCUGCCCGUGCAGAAGCGGGCAUACAAAUACAAGACGAGAAGACCCUUUGGAGCUUAUUGGGGCGACCGCGGGGGAAAACAAAGCCCCCAUGUAAAACCAAGAGAGACAUCUCUAAGCCACAGAAUAUCUGACUAAAAGAUCCGGCUUACAAGCCGAUCAACGAACCAAGUUACCCUAGGGAUAACAGCGCAAUUCUCUCCAAGAGUUCAUAUCGACGAGAGAGUUUACGACCUCGAUGUUGGAUCAGGACAUCCUAAUGGUGCAGCCGCUAUUAAGGGUUCGUUUGUUCAACGAUUAAAGUCCUACGUGAUCU
rnacentral:rRNA from 1 species